rnacentral:tRNA from 1 species
GGACCUGUAGCUCAGUUGGUUAGAGCAAUCGACUCAUAAUCGAUUGGUCGUAGGUUCAAGUCCUACCAGGUCCA